CAACUAGUUCUCAGACAAACUUUUAUCCAUAGAGCUCAACUAUUCUUUCAUAGAAUCCAACCACUAUAAGGAGUUCUCAUCUUUCAUAACUUGUAAGAACAUCUUAGGAUCAUCAUCUUUUUCACCCAUAUCAAUUAGAUACACCCCAUAUUAAUCUAGAGAUAUAGCAAAUUUUCUUAUUCUUGGAGAUCUCUAAAGAGCUAUCCCUUGAUCCGCUCGUGAUGGAGGUUAGAUAGUUACUUCCUCGGCAAUAGGAACCACAUGGACUG
rnacentral:lncRNA from 1 species